GGAGAAGGACAAGAUCAUUGAACAUCUACAGUCUGAGACAGACCAUCUCAGAGCCCUUUUAAAAGACGAAAGGAGGAGAAGAAGAGUAGAAAGGGGUAUAAUGAAAGAGUGGAAGGCUGAGAUCCUGAGGGAGCCAGAGAGCCAGAGGGAGCCAGAGAGCCAAAGAAUGGGAGGAGAACCAGAGAAAAAUGCAGGAAAUCAACAGACUCAAACAACUGCAGGAGCUGCUGAUGGUGGACCUACAACUGGCCCACGUAAGACAUGUCAUUGUUAUUAUUAAAAGUCUUUCCUUAACAUUAACCCUUACCUUAACCUCUGAAACUCUACCUAACCUUUACCUUAACCCAACCCUAGGUCCUGAACCGAACCUUCAUUUAUCUCAACCCCUAUGCCUUUCUUCUGCUGGUUGAAUAUCCACUUCCUUAUUAAUAUCAUUACUGUUGUUGUUGAUAACUGUAUGUGUGCAGGUUGUAAAUAAUUGCAUCAGUGAAAGAGAUUUCAGGAGUAAUUUCUACAAGCAUAAACAUCAGAGGCAGCAAUGUUGUAACAUCACACAAAUUCCAACUGGAAUUUCAUUUAGCUUCAAUCAGAGAGAGAAGAUAAUAGAAGCAAACAAAAGAGAUGAGAUGGCGGAAGAGGAAAGAAGGGAGAUCCUUGAGAAGUACAAGAGGGGUGAGAUAGAGAACACUGAAGAGGAGGAGGAAGAUGACAAGGAGGACCUUGUCCCACCCUAUAAAAACAGCCGAAGGAGAGCUGUGGGCUGGGUGAAUAAGAAGUGGGAGAAGAGGAACCUCAAAAAGAUAGAGAGAACUUAUCAGAGAGAGGCUGAGGAGGGCUAUAAGAUCGUCCAUAUAGUCAUCCCUGUACACAAAGGGCUAACAUCUAUCAUCACCUGGGCAGAGAGAGAGAGGGAGAAGAGGAAGGAGCUCCUGGAGGCUGAGGAGAAAAGGAAGAAGAUGAGGGAUUACAGUGGAGAGAGCAGUCCCUGCCUAAAAAAAUGGACUCAUCAGAAACUGAAGGAGGAGAGGGAGAGGAUGAAAGAGCAGUACCUAAAAGACAAGCAGGAGAAAUGGCUGGAGCAGAUGAAUCUGGAGGCUGAUGAGCAAAUCCAUAAGUUCAGCACCCAGUACAUCACCCGGUGUCCAACCACCCAACACAGCCACGACUACAACCAAGGUCAGGAAUUGCCGGGGUGAGACAUAGGCCAACAGGUAAGCCAAGAGCCCGUUGGAUCUGGAGAUGGCCAGCAGGAGUGGUCAAGGAGGCCACAGGCAGAGAACCAGCAGGGGGGGGGGCAGAGAGCCAGCAGGUAGAGGCUCCAGA
rnacentral:lncRNA from 1 species